rnacentral:rRNA from 1 species
UAACUACGUGCCAGCAGCCGCGGUGAUACGUAGGGUGCGAGCGUUGUCCGGAUUUAUUGGGCGUAAAGGGCUCGUAGGUGGUUGAUCGCGUCGGAAGUGUAAUCUUGGGGCUUAACCCUGAGCGUGCUUUCGAUACGGGUUGACUUGAGGAAGGUAGGGGAGAAUGGAAUUCCUGGUGGAGCGGUGGAAUGCGCAGAUAUCAGGAGGAACACCAGUGGCGAAGGC